rnacentral:misc_RNA from 1 species
GUCAUGCAUGAGUAUAGGUUGGAAGGCAAGAACUUCCUCCCCAAAACAACCAAGAAUGAGUGGGUGAUCUGCAGGGUAUUCAACAAGAGUUCAUGUGGGAAGAAAAUGACGCCGCUUCUAAGGACAGUGUCUGGGGAGGAAUUGGGGCCGUCUCUCCUCCCACCAUUGAUGGAUGCUGCAAACCACGUGACCUGCUUCUCCAAUCCGAUGGAGGGUCAGAAAGGCAAUGAGGAGCUCUUGGCCGAGUACUACAACCCUCAAUUCCUAUCUACCUCCAACCCUUCCGAGGUCUCACCUUCACAGUUCAUGCCGCUGCAGGGGCCGUUUUACACCGGCGGACUGCGAAACAUGCAGUUCCAGACUGCUAGCCUGGUGCAGUUGCUGGAGAGCAAUGGCUUCGGCAUGAUGAAACAGAGGUUGAAGACAGAGAGGGACAUGCUCAGCGUAUCACAGGAUACAGGACUUACAUGUGAUAUGAACACUGAGAUUUCAUCAGUUGUUUCGAAUAAUGAGAUGGGGAGGCAAUCAUUUGACGGCCAAGAGGGUCCAUCCUCAUCUGGUGGAGCUCUGCAGCUUGAUGACUGUCUCUGGAGCAGCUACUGAUGAAAG